ACAUGCAAGUCGACGCUUCUUUUCUACCGAGUGCUUGCACUCAUUUGAAAAGAGGAGCGGCGGACGGGUGAGUAACACGUGGGUAACCUGCCCAUCAGAGGGGGAUAACACUUGGAAACAGGUGCUAAUACCGCAUAAUAGUCGACACCGCAUGGUGUUGAUUUGAAAGACGCUUUCGGGUGUCACUGAUGGAUGGACCCGCGGUGCAUUAGCUAGUUGGUGAGGUAACGGCUCACCAAGGCGAUGAUGCAUAGCCGACCUGAGAGGGUGAUCGGCCACACUGGGACUGAGACACGGCCCAGACUCCUACGGGAGGCAGCAGUAGGGAAUCUUCGGCAAUGGACGAAAGUCUGACCGAGCAACGCCGCGUGAGUGAAGAAGGUUUUCGGAUCGUAAAACUCUGUUGUUAGAGAAGAACAAGUAGGAGAGUAACUGCUCUUACCUUGACGGUAUCUAACCAGAAAGCCACGGCUAACUACGUGCCAGCAGCCGCGGUAAUACGUAUGUGGCAAGCGUUGUCCGGAUUUAUUGGGGGUAAAGCGAGCGCAGGCGGUUUCUUAAGUCUGAUGUGAAAGUCCC
rnacentral:rRNA from 1 species